AAGCAGGUGGGGCUAGCCAAAAGGCUGCCGGCCAAAGAGACUGCACACGAGCAGAGCAGACAUUUCAUGUGGCGAUCCAGCAUGCGCGCUCCCUCCGUCCCCCCCCUUCGGCUGGCAGGAAUCCAGCGGGAAUCACAGCUCACCCGGGGCGAACACCUCUCUCUGCAAGGUACUCUGGGGACACGUAGCUGUGAGGUGCCGCUGGCGAGGGCACGUGCCUGAGAAAUCACAGGGCUUAAAAGGAUUUGCUGCUCGUGUUUUCUGAGAAACCUCGAACCCUUCUUCUCAAGAGAGGCAUGCUCAAAGCAAAAGUCUGUGUUUGCCUCCUGGAGUUUUCUAUGCAACUUUCUCCUUCCCUUCUGUGGGCUUUCCAGAGGAGGGCAGAGCAACGGGAAAGAAAAGUGGCCGAUGACUGUUCAUGACUCCUCCUGGGUUGUGACCUCUCCAGCUGCACGCACCAGAGCAGGAGACAGGCCUCCUUCCCGCCCAGCCCACCGUUCCCCCAUCUGGCACAGACCAUUCACUCCUCGGUGACUCAGUGAGAUAAAUCUUUAUGCAAGAAGAAAACUCACAGGUCUGGCUGGGUCUAUACUGGAUUGAUACCUGCUACAGCUUCCACAGCUCAUGGAAAAAUCUCCUUCCCCCUGAAAGAAGGUUGGAACCAUAACACAGACCCACCAUCUGCUUUAGUAGCGUCAUUGAUGCAUUUACUUUCAUUUUAACUUGGCUGAACGUUUUUGAGGUCUGCAACAGAAUCUAUCACCAUCAUACUGAACAAUUGUGAGUUCUUCAAGACCGAUAUCCAGGCCAGUCAGUUACAAAUGUUUCAGUAUCAGCCUUUCUGCUUGCGAUAUCCCUGCAAAAAUUAUGGCAAGGAACGACAACAAACCUCAAAUUGCGAAGAUGUUUCUCUAUGGCAGUUUCGAUACUCGGCCUGAAACUCCGCUUUUCCAAGAACAAACGCCCCAAAAUUUCUGCUUCUCAAACACACCUAAAGGACUUGGCAUUUACCUCCAAGCGAUAGAAAUGAUCGUGAAAAUCAUCUUUUACUGUCAAGACCCUAAGUUUGAAUGCGAUCUCUCGCUAUUGUUGCGGGCAAAACCGUACGCAAAUGCUAAGCACAUGAGUCAGCAGCGCGCCCUCACAGUGAAAAAGUCCAACCAUGACCUGGGCUGCAUCAGCAAGAGCGCAGCUGACACACUGAGGGAAGCGAUCCCGCUUCAGCCCGGAGCAACUUCACCCCUGAAGGUGGAAUGCAGAAACCAAACUAAGCAGCUUUGUCACCAUCGCACUGAGACUGCACCUUCCAACUGCCCCACAGGUGGGAACCCAGGGGACCCGCAGGCGCGCACGGACAGCAGCCGGCCGGGGACUCGCCAGAGCUGCAUGGCCCAACUUUUGUGUGCUUGGAGGGCCUAAGCUUGUGUCCUACCCCAGCAGCACUACUCUCCUUGAAGCCACAUUUGCUUCUCGUGCCUUCUCUGCACUGCGGCACAUGUUCACUUCUCAACUGUUGGAUUUCUUCUGCUGUUUCAAUCGCUCUCUGCCACCUUAUCUCUAUCAUAGCCCUGAGAAUUGAUACUGUCCUCUGCAAAUCUCCAAGAAUCCCAACGCUACCAUUUGAAGCUAGGAUUCGGUGCUUAAUAUUCGUGCCCUUAAAAUAGAUAUAAUUAUAGAUCUGUGCAAAACACAAGUUUAUUUUUCCACAUUGCUAU